AACACCUCCAACAAUUGGUUGUGGGACCAUAAGCUAAUAUUUUUCAACUUGUAGAGAUUGACUUCAAGGUUUUCAACAACAGAGAUGUGGCCCAAGAAAUUAAAGAAGAAAGCAGUAUGCCAUAUUGCCAUCCAGUCUACUCUAGAUAAUUCAGGAGGAAUGAAAAAGCCACUAUAGAUAAGUACCACUGGCCCUCAAUGAGGAACCUAUUGAUGACCAGCAAGGUUAAGACUAGACCAGUGUGCAUUUUGAAAAAAAAAGGAGGGGGGGAUUGGAAGAGGGAAUGCUCAAACUGUUCCCAGAAAUGGAGUGUAGGUGACAAACCUGACUCUUAUCAGCUUUUCCUGGCAAAAGUUGAAGACUGACAGGGCCAAGGGGCUUCCCAGCUGGUUCAUUGCAAUACAAACCAGAUUUCUUCCAAGGAUCCCUUGGUUCCCUUUGAUAUAGCUAGAGAGGGAGUUGAGUUUCUGCUUGAUACUUAUGCAUAUACUCUGAAUUGACUACUAAAAAGAGGACUGUGCCCAGUAAAGAAUGUAAUAUAAGAGGAAAACAAAUGGUUUCUCAAGCCUAUGACCACAAAAGUGGGUUCAAAGGCUUUAAAGCACUCAUUUCUGUAUGUUUCUGAGUGCCCCAUUCCCCUUUUCAAAAGUGAACUGUUAAUCUAACUAGAGGCACUCUUUUAAUUUUCCACAGACAUAAAGGGAUUGCAUGGAUUGACAAGAGGCUGGCAGAGAAAAUUAAGACUGGAUGCUGAAGAGGAAGCAAAGGGAGAUUGGAAAACUAUAGGGAAAGAAAAUGUGGGAGAUGAGUUCUCUGAGGGUCACAUCCACAUUUAGAAUGAAAAGAGAGACAUUGGAGCUGGGCUGGCACAGGAAGGAGGUCUGUGGGACUCAAGCUAGAGUCGGGCAAUUGAUGAGAAGAAGACAGGAACCACCUCAGCAGUGAGAAAAGCUCCUGUGUCUGUGAUGGCUUCUGCAAAAUAAGGAUACCCGUAUGGAAAAGGAAAGAGAACAGGAUGGAAAUCGAUGCCUAUGUGAGGAGAGAGUCUUACAAUGUGUUUCCACAUUUGUGAAGGUAUUGUAGACGUGAUGUAGAAGGAUGCUGGAGACCCAGAUGGUCUCAACAGGUGGCAGAGAUAUCAUCUGGGAUUUCUCAAAUGCUUAGAAUACAAUGAAGAUUACAUAUUAUGGCAUGGAGACCUCAGUCAUUUGGUUAAAACUCUAACACGCAUCAGAGCCAAUCAUUUGAGAUGUUGUAUUUUAUGGAAGAUCCUCUCCACGAGGAUUCAGGUCUGGAAUACACCCUGCUGUGGAGGUUGAACUGGCAACAAAAAACAUAAUCAACAGGUAUAACUCCUUGGAUACUUUACACCAGAUUAAAAAGGGUCCAGAAAAAAGGCACAUUAGCCUGGAAAGGCCUGCUUCUGUGAACCAGGAAUCACUCUGAAACUGAAGAUCAAAUGGACAAGCAGAGCCAAGCAAUGACUGAUUUUUUUAGUUGUAGUCUUCUGUUUGAUAUAUUUACCUGCAUGAUGUUGAUCUUCUACAGAUGUUAAGCUCUUGUUUUACCAAAAGUUUGGAUCACAUUAAAUGCAAUUUUAUCAUAACUAA